rnacentral:rRNA from 1 species
GCGGUGAGACGAGAGGCUCAAGUUGACAAACACGGCACAAAGCGUGGUUAAGGAAUUUUACAGACUAAAGUUAAACGCUUCCAAAGCUGUUAUACGCACUCGAAAGUAUGAAAUUCAACCACGAAAGUAACUUUAACACCCCUGAACCCACGAAAGCUAAGGAACAAACUGGGAUUAGAUACCCCACUAUGCUUAGCCAUAAACAUCGAUCUUUACACAAAAAUCCGCCCGGGAACUACAAACACGAGUUUAAAACCCAAAGGACUUGGCGGUGCUUAACAUCCACCUAGAGGAGCCUGUUCUAGAACCGAUAACCCCCGUUUAACCUCACCCCCCCUAGUCUAAAACCGCCUAUAUACCACCGUCGCCAGCUUACCCUGCAAAGGCCCCAAAGUAAGCAAAACUAGCACUGCUCAGAACGUCAGGUCGAGGUGUAGCGCAUGGGGGGGGAAGAAAUGGGCUACAUUCGCUACCCCUAGCGUAUAACGAAUGACUGCGUUGAAACACGCGUUUGAAGGAGGAUUUAGAAGUAAGCAAAAAAUAGAGUGUUUUGCUGAAACAUGGCACUAAAGCGCGUACAUACCGCCCGUCACUCUCUCCUGAAUUUACCUUAUUUUAUGUAUAUAACACCACAUCCAAAUAGAGGAGAGGAAAGUCGUAA